rnacentral:rRNA from 1 species
UACGUAGGGAGCGAGCGUUGUCCGGAUUCAUUGGGCGUAAAGAGCUCGUAGGCGGCUUGGCAAGUCGGGUGUGAAAACUCCAGGCUCAACCUGGAGACGCCACCCGAUACUGCCAUGGCUAGAGUCCGGUAGGGGACCACGGAAUUCCUGGUGUAGCGGUGAAAUGCGCAGAUAUCAGGAGGAACACCGGUGGCGAAGGCGGGUCUCUGGGCAGUAACUGACGCUGAGGAGCGAAAGCGUGGGGAGCGAACAGG